UAGUCUUUAUAUCUCAAAGUAGGAGAAUUAAUAUUUUUUUGAUCCAGAGACGCUUUUGUCAAAAAUCUUUUACAAAAAGUAAUUUUGUGGAAAAAUAAUUUGUGGUGUAUGUUAUUUCUGGUCAAACAUGACAAAUGUAAAAAGUAGCGCCUUUUCGGUGCUAGCUUAUAGCCUCCAAUAAUCGACGUAUAUUUUAAUACUUUUUUUGUUUCAUUUUAAGUUGAAGUGCAUAUUGCGUUUCUUUAUUCUAGAUGACAAACGUUAGAAGCUUCCAUUUUCGUGCUUAAUUCAGUAACUUUUAGUGAUCUUCCAUGUUUUGUUGUUUUGGUGACACUAAAGUUUUUCUUAUUUUGCAAGACGGAUUUUGAGCAUAUGUGUAUCAGCACAAUCACAACCUCUCUGAUGAGUGAAAUCUAGUUAUGAUGUAACGACUUUGGAAGGACAUACAUCUAAGUCCAAAAGGGUCUUUUCUUGCAAUUGGGUAAGCAUUACUCCCAGUUUUUCAUUUUAUUGAUCUCGACUAUGUGUACUCAUGUUCAUAUCCCUACUUUUGUUUCUAAUUAUCUUGUAAUUUAUUAACCUUGGAAAUGACAAUCUUUAUAACCGCUAUUUUAUAG
rnacentral:lncRNA from 1 species